AGAUUUCACUGGGGGUGUCCACGCUGUGGGCUGAGAUUAAGGCAAAUGUGCUUUUAAACCCUUUGGACCUGAUCUGGCUCAUACCAGCGUAGGGAAGUAUAUCCGAACGACU
rnacentral:ncRNA from 2 species